GAUGAACGCUGGCGGCGUGCCUAAUACAUGCAAGUCGAGCGAACAGACGAGGAGCUUGCUCCUCUGACGUUAGCGGCGGACGGGUGAGUAACACGUGGAUAACCUACCUAUAAGACUGGGAUAACUUCGGGAAACCGGAGCUAAUACCGGAUAAUAUAUUGAACCGCAUGGUUCAAUAGUGAAAGACGGUUUUGCUGUCACUUAUAGAUGGAUCCGCGCCGGAUUAGCUAGUUGGUAAGGUAACGGCUUACCAAGGCAACGAUGCGUAGCCGACCUGAGAGGGUGAUCGGCCACACUGGAACUGAGACACGGUCCAGACUCCUACGGGAGGCAGCAGUAGGGAAUAUUCCGCAAUGGGCGAAAGCCUGACGGAGCAACGCCGCGUGAGUGAUGAAGGUCUUCGGAUCGUAAAACUCUGUUAUUAGGGAAGAACAAAUGUGUAAGUAACUAUGCACGUCUUGACGGUACCUAAUCAGAAAGCCACGGCUAACUACGUG
rnacentral:rRNA from 1 species